AUUGAACGCUGGCGGCAGGCCUAACACAUGCAAGUCGAACGGUAACAGGAAGAAGCUUGCUUCUUUGCUGACGAGUGGCGGACGGGUGAGUAAUGUCUGGGAAACUGCCUGAUGGAGGGGGAUAACUACUGGAAACGGUAGCUAAUACCGCAUAACGUCGCAAGACCAAAGAGGGGGACCUUCGGGCCUCUUGCCAUCGGAUGUGCCCAGAUGGGAGUAGCUAGUAGGUGGGGUAACGGCUCACCUAGGCGACGAUCCCUAGCUGGUCUGAGAGGAUGACGAGCGACAGUGGAACUGAGCAACGGUCGAGAGACCGACGGGAGGCAGCAGGGGGGAAUAUUGGACAAUGGGCGCAAGUUGUAGAGAGCGAUACCGCGUGGGUGAAGAAGGACUUCGGAUUGGAAAGCACUUUUGGGGGGAAAGAAAAGCAGAAUGUUAAUACCCCGCUGUCAUGACGGUAACAAAAGAAGAAGAACCGGCUAACUUCGUG
rnacentral:rRNA from 1 species